CGCACAUUGCGCCCUUUGGCAUUCCGAAGGGCAUGCCCGUUCGAGCGUCAUUAAACCCAAUCAAGCCUGGCUUGGUGUUGGGCGUCGGGGCUCCCCCGCGCCCCAAUUUCACCGGCUGGCCGUCGCCCGUCUUAGCGUUGUGACACAUUUUCGCUAAGGCUCGCGACGGACCACGCCGUUAAACCGCACAGAUUUCAAUCGAAAUUUGAUUAAGGUUGACCUCGGAUCGGGUAGGAAUACCCGCUGAACUUAA
rnacentral:misc_RNA from 1 species